rnacentral:rRNA from 1 species
UACGAAGGGGGCUAGCGUGCUCGGAAUCACUGGGCGUAAAGGGUGCGUAGGCGGGUCUUUAAGUCAGGGGUGAAAUCCUGGAGCUCAACUCCAGAACUGCCUUUGAUACUGAAGAUCUUGAGUUCGGGAGAGGUGAGUGGAACUGCGAGUGUAGAGGUGAAAUUCGUAGAUAUUCGCAAGAACACCAGUGGCGAAGGCGGCUCACCUGGCCCGAUACUGACGCUGAGGCACGAAAGCGUGGGGAGCAAACAGG